rnacentral:rRNA from 1 species
GGUGAGUAACACGUGGGCAAUCUGCCCUGCACUCUGGGACAAGCCCUGGAAACGGGGUCUAAUACCGGAUAACACCCCCUCUCGCAUGGGAGGGGGUUGAAAGCUCCGGCGGUGCAGGAUGAGCCCGCGGCCUAUCAGCUUGUUGGUGAGGUAGAAGCUCACCAAGGCGACGACGGGUAGCCGGCCUGAGAGGGCGACCGGCCACACUGGGACUGAGACACGGCCCAGACUCCUACGGGAGGCAGCAGUGGGGAAUAUUGCACAAUGGGCGAAAGCCUGAUGCAGCGACGCCGCGUGAGGGAUGACGGCCUUCGGGUUGUAAACCUCUUUCAGCAGGGAAGAAGCGAAAGUGACGGUACCUGCAGAAGAAGCGCCGGCUAACUACGUGCCAGCAGCCGCGGUAAUACGUAGGGCGCAAGCGUUGUCCGGAAUUAUUGGGCGUAAAGAGCUCGUAGGCGGCUUGUCGCGUCGGUUGUGAAAGCCCGGGGCUUAACCCCGGGUCUGCAGUCGAUACGGGCAGGCUAGAGUGUGGUAGGGGAGAUCGGAAUUCCUGGUGUAGCGGUGAAAUGCGCAGAUAUCAGGAGGAACACCGGUGGCGAAGGCGGAUCUCUGGGCCAUUACUGACGCUGAGGAGCGAAAGCGUGGGGAGCGAACAGGAUUAGAUACCCUGGUAGUCCACGCCGUAAACGGUGGGAACUAGGUGUUGGCGACAUUCCACGUCGUCGGUGCCG